UGCCAAAUUUAGAGCAAUUAAAAAUUUUCCUGGGGUGAUAGGAGCCAUAGAUUGCACCCACAUUAAAAUUAAAAAAACCGGAGGUGACAUGGCCCAGUACUAUAUUAAUAGAAAAGGCUAUUAUUCCCUGAAUGUUCAGGUUGUCUGUGAUGCUGACCUCAAAAUAAUGGAUAUAGUGGCUAGAUGGCGAGGCAGUACACAUGACAGUCGAAUUUUUAUGGAGAGCAAUAUAAAACAACGAUUUGAGGAUAGGCAGUUUAGAGGACGCCUUAUUGGCGAUUCGGGCUACCCUCUUCUGCCAUAUCUAUUUACACCUAUUUUAAGGCCUAGUCGUCCAGAAGAAGAAGCAUACAAUAAUGCUCACAUCUCAACUAGGAACACUGUUGAAAGGUGUUUUGGGGUGUGGAAGCAGCGGUUCCAAUGCCUACUCCAUGGCUUACCAGUAAGCCUCCAAAAUGGAAAAGCUGUGAUCAUAGCAUUGGCUGUAUUACAUAAUAUAGCCAUUGAUAUGAAUGACACAUUGUUAGAACAACAUAUGGAGCAGGUCCCUGUAACUCCGCAACUUUCGACGGAGAACAGUGUUCACGACAACCGACCUUCAUUGUUGAGGCGUAGGUCGCAGUUGAUACUACAAAAUUUUAUAAAUCAACAUUUUUGAAUGAUACUGUUCCUGGC